rnacentral:rRNA from 1 species
GCUGGCGGCAGGCUUAACACAUGCAAGUCGAGCGGAGUGGUUGUGCUUGCACAAUCACUUAGCGGCGGACGGGUGAGUAAUGCUUAGGAAUCUGCCUAUUAGUGGGGGACAACAUUCCGAAAGGAAUGCUAAUACCGCAUACGCCCUACGGGGGAAAGCAGGGGAUCUUCGGACCUUGCGCUAAUAGAUGAGCCUAAGUCGGAUUAGCUAGUUGGUGGGGUAAAGGCCUACCAAGGCGACGAUCUGUAGCGGGUCUGAGAGGAUGAUCCGCCACACUGGGACUGAGACACGGCCCAGACUCCUACGGGAGGCAGCAGUGGGGAAUAUUGGACAAUGGGGGGAACCCUGAUCCAGCCAUGCCGCGUGUGUGAAGAAGGCCUUUUGGUUGUAAAGCACUUUAAGCGAGGAGGAGGCUACUAGUACUAAUACUACUGGAUAGUGGACGUUACUCGCAGAAUAAGCACCGGCUAACUCUGUGCCAGCAGCCGCGGUAAUACAGAGGGUGCGAGCGUUAAUCGGAUUUACUGGGCGUAAAGCGUGCGUAGGCGGCUGAUUAAGUCGGAUGUGAAAUCCCUGAGCUUAACUUAGGAAUUGCAUUCGAUACUGGUCAGCUAGAGUAUGGGAGAGGAUGGUAGAAUUCCAGGUGUAGCGGUGAAAUGCGUAGAGAUCUGGAGGAAUACCGAUGGCGAAGGCAGCCAUCUGGCCUAAUACUGACGCUGAGGUACGAAAGCAUGGGGAGCAAACAGGAUUAGAUACCCUGGUAGUCCAUGCCGUAAACGAUGUCUACUAGCCGUUGGGGCCUUUGAGGCUUUAGUGGCGCAGCUAACGCGAUAAGUAGACCGCCUGGGGAGUACGGUCGCAAGACUAAAACUCAAAUGAAUUGACGGGGGCCCGCACAAGCGGUGGAGCAUGUGGUUUAUUUCGAUGCAACGCGAAGAACCUUACCUGGUCUUGACAUAGUAAGAACUUUCCAGAGAUGGAUUGGUGCCUUCGGGAACUUACAUAC